UUGAACUCAGAUCUUCCUGCCCAGCACGCUUGCUGCCACACCUCCUAGCUGCCUCAGUUUUCUCAUCUGUAAAAGGGAGAUAGUAACAGUACCUAGCCCUCACAAAAUGCUUUACAAACCUUAAUGUGUAAGUGGUUACUAAGACAUUAGGACAGAAUCUUAUCGAUCACUUGGUCCAACCCCGUUGUUUUAUUCCUUAUGCUUGUCGCCAUGUGUGUUUAUGGCUGGUCUCAGCCAAGAGGCUGAACAGUGAUGCGUCCUUUAUUUUUACGUUGCCUUUAUUUCUGCCCAUGUUCCUCCCUGUCCACUCCUCAGUAAGCCAUUCUUUGGAGCAAAGAAGAAAAAAGAAAUAAGGCAGUCUGGCCAAACCAGCCUGUCUCCAGUGUGUGCCUACGCCACAUUCCCCACCUGCAGCCCCCAUCUCUGCACCAAGAAGAGGGAGGUGCAUUUCCUGAACUUUUGUCUGGGGUGAAGCUUGGAACUGGGACCCCGGACCUGUCUUAGAGUGGCUGCUUGACUGCAAAAGCUUGUGAGUAGACAAUGCAUUGGUGACUUGAAGAAAUGAUGGGUAGGAGACAUUUCUUUCCCAGGGCAAGCCUGCUGUUUCAAGGAAGGGCAACAAGAAUGUAGAGUUAUCCAUCAUCCAUCAAUACUCGACCUUUUCCAGAACCCUCCCCCCCAUGUCGGCUCCUUCCUGCUGCAGAGGCCUGUGGUGGUCUUCCCUCUGAGUUGAUCUUCUGUCUUCCCAAAGGCCGGACAAAUGCAGCCUGCUCUACCUGGGGGAGGAGAGGUUUCUGCAUGGCAGGUAACCAUGCCUGAUCAGUGACGCCAGUUCUUCCUCAGUCACUCCCUCACAGGCCUGGUCACUGGGCACCCGCUGCCCGGCUUGUCUUACUUGACUCUGCAUGGGCCGGCAGAAACCUUCAUUGCCUUCGGCAACUUCUCUUUGGCACAUCCACAUUCCCUAACAUGCACCUCCUCCACACAACUGAUUCCCACCGUUCCCCAAAUGACGGGUGGCUUUGUUUCCAGGUCUUGGCACAAAGCACCCUGCUCUGCAGGCCAGGUGUAGGUUUUUUCUGUCUUUGUUCCUUUUCCUUCAUGUAUAAUGUGGGUAUGAACGCGUGGGUGAUUUUUUUUUAAACAAUUCCAAACUGUUUCCCAGAAAUGGUGGCCCAAACUCUUGCUUUAAGGGAAGGGAAACUCAGGGAGGUGCCCAAGGUCACCCACCUGGUCAGCACCAGAGUGGGCAUCAGACUGGCACUCCCGUCUCAUUGGGCGACCUCUCAACACUACCCAGGAGGAGCCAAAUGAGAGCCAGGGCGCUCAGGGAAGCUUCCCAGAAGAGCUGGGAUCAAGGACACACACAUUUCUGGGAUGCCAACCCUGCCAGGACCUGUUGCUUUGAUGCAGGGUCACAUGUCCUCCUCACUUGGCCAGGCUGAUGAUGGAUGACAACCCCAGAGCCACCCUGAGUGGGGCAUUCCUCCUGGCAUGGCAGCAUGGCCUCCCGGGAGGGGGCGCUCACCACUCCUCUCUGGGGUGACUGUCCAGGUGGCUAACCCUUCUUCCCCAAAGCAGCCUUGGAGCCUUAGAGGGAGCUCCCAUGCCUUCCCCUCCUCUUCUCCAAACCAAACACGCUCGCCUAGCAGGAAUGGGAAUCCUUCCACCAUCCUGGCUGCCUCCUCUGGAGGAGUCCACGUCCUUCCAAAAAGCCGGUUCCCAGAACAGACUGUGAGAACCGGCCUGGCCGGGGUACAGGAGAACAGCGCAGAACAAGUAUUUCAGCACUGCACGGUGGCUACAGCGGUCAAAACAAAAGCUGCCAGUCCCGCUCUCAAAGAGUUUAUGUUCUACCUCUUCCUGAACCUAAGCCACAUUUUGAAGCCAAAAAUCCCAUUGUGUUCUCUGGCUGCCAUAGCGGAUGGUAGAUGCACGAGGAACUUGUGGCCCACUGAUAACUCCAGGUCUUUUUCAGAUAAAUGGCUCCCCGGCCACACCUCCUUCAUCUCAGACCUUAGUGGCUAUUUUGAAUGGAGAGGUAACCCUUCACAACAGUCCUCAUUAAAGACCUGUCAGGCUCUUCCCCAGGCUCUCCCUUCAUAUCCGCCACCUCGUACAGAGGCCAGAUGGUCCUCUUCAAAUGCCUUCUUCCUGCCACACUGGCUGUUCCAAAAGCUACGCUGGAUCCUGUUCAUCUUCAGCCUUGAACUCAAACUCCUCAGGGGCUCGGUCAAUGCAGAUGCUGAGACUUCCAGGGUGGGUGGCCAGGCGUGGGCCGGCCAGGACACUGCUGGGGCUGCCCGAUGCUUUGUGGAGGGUGGAGAGCACGUGCCCAGCGUGGAUGGCGGGGGGGGGGGCACGACAAGAGCCUUCCUGCCUGGCAGAGAUGACCCCACCAGGCCAGCGUCCCCCUCCUGGAAGCUUCUCCCUGUUGGCCCAUUCCACAGACCUCUGUUCCGCUGCUCACCUCCCAUACUUGUGACUGUCCCCAGGGAGGAGCCUCUCAUUGGGGCAGCAGUGAGCCUGUGAGCACAGGGCAUCUCAUCACCAGGGGAGCACAAGGAGGAGGUGGGGGCUGCGAUCAGCUGCAGCGGAGGGAGUCUCUGGGGAGAAGCUCCCCAGAGUAGGCUAGGGCAAGCGCCAGACUGACCCAGACCAGCACCAAGAAGCCAGACGGACCUCUGGGCACUCCUGCCAGUGUUCCAGAACUAGACAAUCCAAGAUGGCUAAGUCCCCCCCACCCCGCAUCACGGAGGCCAAUGAGUAUAGUCCUUCAUAAGAGGAAACUGAGGCAGGGAGGGAAGCGACUCCUAGAGCUCACAAAGGAAGUCAGGACAAGAGCAGCAGACAAGACC